UACGAAGGGGGCGAGCGUUGUUCGGAAUUACUGGGCGUAAAGGGCGCGCAGGCGGCUCUGCAAGUCAGAUGUGAAAGCCCCGGGCUUAACCUGGGAAUUGCAUUUGAUACUCUGGAGCUUGAGUACGGGAGAGGAGAGUGGAAUUCCCAGUGUAGAGGUGAAAUUCGUAGAUAUUGGGAAGAACACCGGUGGCGAAGGCGGCUCUCCGGACCGUAACUGACGCUGAGGCGCGAAAGCGUGGGGAGCAAACAGG
rnacentral:rRNA from 1 species